rnacentral:rRNA from 1 species
UAUAGUCAAGUAAUUAAGUGCAUGUGGUGGAUGCCUUGGCAGUCAGAGGCGAUGAAAGACGUGAUAGCCUGCGAAAAGCUCCGGGGAGGCGGCAAAUAUCCUUUGAUCCGGAGAUGUCUGAAUGGGGGAACCCACCU